UGGGGAAUUUUGGACAAUGGGCGCAAGCCUGAUCCAGCCAUGCCGCGUGUCUGAAGAAGGCCUUCGGGUUGUAAAGGACUUUUGUCAGGGAAGAAAAGGCUGUUGCUAAUAUCGACAGCUGAUGACGGUACCUGAAGAAUAAGCACCGGCUAACUACGUGCCAGCAGCCGCGGUAAUACGUAGGGUGCGAGCGUUAAUCGGAAUUACUGGGCGUAAAGCGAGCGCAGACGGUUACUUAAGCAGGAUGUGAAAUCCCCGGGCUCAACCUGGGAACUGCGUUCUGAACUGGGUGACUAGAGUGUGUCAGAGGGAGGUAGAAUUCCACGUGUAGCAGUGAAAUGCGUAGAGAUGUGGAGGAAUACCGAUGGCGAAGGCAGCCUCCUGGGAUAACACUGACGUUCAUGCUCGAAAGCGUGGGUAGCAAACAGGAUUAGAUACCCUGGUAGUCCACGCCCUAAACGAUGUCAAUUAGCUGUUGGGCAACUUGAUUGCUUAGUAGCGUAGCUACGCGUGAAAUUGACCGCCUGGGGAGUACGGUCGCAAGAUU
rnacentral:rRNA from 1 species